rnacentral:rRNA from 1 species
AAUGGGCGAAAGCCUGAUGCAGCGACGCCGCGUGAGGGAUGACGGCCUUCGGGUUGUAAACCUCUUUCAGCAGGGAAGAAGCGAAAGUGACGGUACCUGCAGAAGAAGCACCGGCUAACUACGUGCCAGCAGCCGCGGUAAUACGUAGGGUGCGAGCGUUGUCCGGAAUUAUUGGGCGUAAAGAGCUUGUAGGCGGUUUGUCGCGUCUGCUGUGAAAAUCCGGGACUCAAUUCCGGACUUGCAGUGGGUACGGGCAGACUAGAGUACGGUAGGGGAGACUGGAAUUCCUGGUGUAGCGGUGAAAUGCGCAGAUAUCAGGAGGAACACCGAUGGCGAAGGCAGGUCUCUGGGCCGUAACUGACGCUGAGAAGCGAAAGCAUGGGGAGCGAA